rnacentral:rRNA from 1 species
GAUGAACGCUAGCUACAGGCUUAACACAUGCAAGUCGAGGGGGAAACGAUAUUGGAAGCUUGCUUCCGAUAGGCGUCGACCGGCGCACGGGUGAGUAACGCGUAUCCAACCUGCCCAUCACUUGGGGAUAACCUUGCGAAAGUAAGACUAAUACCCAAUGACGUCUCUAGAAGACAUCUGAAAGAGAUUAAAGAUUUAUCGGUGAUGGAUGGGGAUGCGUCUGAUUAGCUUGUUGGCGGGGUAACGGCCCACCAAGGCGACGAUCAGUAGGGGUUCUGAGAGGAAGGUCCCCCACAUUGGAACUGAGACACGGUCCAAACUCCUACGGGAGGCAGCAGUGAGGAAUAUUGGUCAAUGGACGAGAGUCUGAACCAGCCAAGUAGCGUGAAGGAUGAAGGUCCUACGGAUUGUAAACUUCUUUUAUAAGGGAAUAAAACCUCCCACGUGUGGGAGCUUGUAUGUACCUUAUGAAUAAGCAUCGGCUAACUCCGUG